ACAAAUGCGCAGUGGCAGUAUCGUAGCCAAUGAGGUUUAUCCGAGGCGCGAUUAUUGCUAAUUGAAUUGACUAUUCUGUGGUCUUAUUUCCCCUAAAUCGAAAGUUUGAGUUGUAUUAAUGAAUUUCUUGAAUAGUUGGUAAAUA